CUGUCUUUCAAUUACGAAACUAUUCUGCCAUUACAAAUUUCUGCUGCUUGCACAAGUAUUUUCUACAAGUAUACAAAUCAUUUUGAGACUGUUCUGGCGCUUCCUGUUGAAUAGCCAAUGGCGAUCCUCAGGUUUGGCUAGCCAACCAUGAAUCUCAGUUCACUAACCAAUCACAGAGCAGGAGCAGCGCCGUCGUUGUCUGUGGGUGCAACCAAACCUGGAGUCUACGUUUGGAGCACGCUAGUUUCCUGUAUUCCUUGAGUUUCUUAUGGAUCCCCAGUUGCUGCCUCCUUCUGAAGCACAGGUUAUUAGAGAGGCUGAAAACCAGACUGGAACAGGCUCUUCAAAGGCAGCCUCUGGACCUGGACUAUUUAGAGUUCCUCUGUACCAGUGAGUUGAGCCUAGUUCACUGAGUACUCACAUGCCAUUUCCAGAAGAGGUCAUAGGCAGAUGGGAAAAGCAGGCCUUAAAAAAGAGGGCUACAGGAUACUGGGGUGCUCCCAAUGAUAACAGAACGGCCAGAACUGGCUAGAGUUCUGUUCCCACAAGGUGUCUCAUCUCUGAUGGAUCCUAAGAUGAUUUUGAAAAGAGUGGUUUGACCAGAUGAGGUGGAGGUUGACGAAGAUGAAAUGGAAGACUGCCGUGUCACAGCCUACCUCAGACAAUACGUUGCCGUGCCUACCUCAGACAAUACGUUGCCGUGCCUACCUCAGACAAUACGUUGCCGUGCCUACCUCAGACAAUACGUUUUUCUUUAGAGACAUUGAAAGACCUGGUGGUCUUCUGGACGGGAUGGUCUGUUGGCAGGGGCAAUGCCGACUGUACUUUGAAACUCCCCCUAGGGACAAGAAUGUAUGACACCUUCAAAGAAGCUAUGAAUGCAGCGCUGAAAUAAAGCAAUUAUGGUUUUGGCUUGAUCUAGUGUUGUUUUCUGCAAGUUCAAUGCAGUAUAGUCAACAAUUUCAGUGUUUCAGACGGUGACCAGAGUUCCAGUUGUUCAAUGAAUAAACUAUGCAAUGAGAAA